rnacentral:rRNA from 1 species
GAUGAACGCUGGCGGCGUGCCUAAUACAUGCAAGUCGAGCGAACAGAUAAGGAGCUUGCUCCUUUGACGUUAGCGGCGGACGGGUGAGUAACACGUGGGUAACCUACCUAUAAGACUGGGAUAACUUCGGGAAACCGGAGCUAAUACCGGAUAACAUUUGGAACCGCAUGGUUCUAAAGUGAAAGAUGGUUUUGCUAUCACUUAUAGAUGGACCCGCGCCGUAUUAGCUAGUUGGUAAGGUAACGGCUUACCAAGGCGACGAUACGUAGCCGACCUGAGAGGGUGAUCGGCCACACUGGAACUGAGACACGGUCCAGACUCCUACGGGAGGCAGCAGUAGGGAAUCUUCCGCAAUGGGCGAAAGCCUGACGGAGCAACGCCGCGUGAGUGAUGAAGGGUUUCGGCUCGUAAAGCUCUGUUAUUAGGGAAGAACAAAUGUGUAAGUAACUGUGCACGUCUUGACGGUACCUAAUCAGAAAGCCACGGCUAACUACGUG